CAGAAUUCCAUUUCCUGCUUUAACUACUAAAUGUCACUGCCAGACAGAAAGAGGUAGAAAAAGCCAACAGGACAGAAAAAAAUUUGCUGUGCUCCAGCCUUUGCAUUUCAGCCAACACAAGGAACUUCCACAGAGUCCAAAUGCACUAAAGUUGGAGUUGAUAUAUCUUAGUCUAUUGGCCUGUGGAGUUGAGUGCUGACUUGCCUUUUCUGUCUUUCCUGCUGCAAGGGUCUCCAAAUGGCAUUGUUACUCUAAAGUGCUGUAACAAGGAGUAAUGACCGUGACUCCCUCCUCAUUACAUUGCUUUACAGGGAGCUGGAUUUUUCAUGUAACUGCAAGAGAAAUGCCGGAGGGAGACGUUGGGAAUUGCUGGCUGUGUAUUCUACUGGCAGCAGACAGGAAGGAUCAGGAUAAUUCCUGCACUUUUGAUGGGUUGUGCUAUCUCCAGAUAUUGCUGAAUCAUUGAUGCCAUAGAACUUCCACCUGGAGCUCAUAAAAAUGUUGGGGGCAAGCAGCAUUUCUGUCUGAAAUUCAUGUACUGAAUUAACUGCUUUUGUUUCCUUUUUAAGUGCUGCCAAGGAGAAAAUCGCUGGAUAUACCUACUGGGUUUUUUCUUACUACCACUCUCAAAUCUAUCUAGUACACAAAUGGAAGCUCUGGAUAUGGGGGUCUUGUGGAUAAAAAUAAUAAUCUUUUGCAGUUUUUCACUGGUGUAUAAAUUGAUUUAUUAUACAGUAUGAAGUAAAAAAUGAUUUCAUCA